GUGAGUCAUCGAAUCUUUGAACGCACAUUGCACCGUUUACCUUUGGCUAACGGUAUGCCUGUUUGAGCGUCACUAUAAUAAUCUCUCUUAACAAUGUUAUUGUUGUGUGAGGGGAUUUGGAUAAUCCGAGGGUUCUGACAGGGAGUAUUCUCCGUUGGGAUACACGGUUGUCUGAAAUAUAGUGACACUAGUCUGACGACGAGAUAAUAGUCUUGGUUGCGCGCACUUUAUUGUGAUGUGUGACCAUACUUGUCCGUUACGCUAAAUUCACACACCAUUAAGUUAGUGGGCGUAAUAACC
rnacentral:misc_RNA from 1 species